rnacentral:rRNA from 1 species
AUGGGCAGGCGCAACAGCUGCACCAUUUAUGUAGGCAAUCUCCCUGGGGACAUUCGUGAGAGGGAGGUUGAGGAUCUCUUUUACAAGUAUGGCUGUAUUGUCGAUAUUGACUUGAAGAUUCCUCCAAGGCCUCCUGGUUACGCUUUUGUUGAGUUUGAGGAUCCCCGUGAUGCUGAUGAUGCAAUUUAUGGCCGUGAUGGGUAUGACUUUGACGGCUGCAGGCUGCGGGUGGAAUUAGCUCAUGGUGGAAGAGCUCAAUCUUACUCGUAUGAUCGCCCAAGCAGCUUUAGCAAUGGACGCCGUGGAGGUGUUUCUAGGCGCUCUGAGUUCCGAGUUAUGGUUGAUGGUUUACCUUCGUCAGCGUCAUGGCAAGAUCUCAAGGACCAUAUGCGCCGGGCUGGCGAUGUCUGUUUUUCUGAUGUAUACCGCGAGGGCGGAGCAACCGUUGGAGUUGUGGAUUAUACAAACUACGAUGACAUGAAAUAUGCGAUUAGGAAGCUCGAUGAUACAGAGUUCAGAAAUGCAUUUUCAAGGGCAUAUAUCAGGGUGAGGCAGUAUGAUGCUAGAUCAAGAAGCAGGAGCCGUAGCCUCUCUUACUUAAGAAGUCGCAGCUAUAGCAGAUCUGUCUCUCGAUCACCCUUACCUGUGGAUGAAAGGUCACUGUCAAGAUCUCGGUCUCCUGUUUCUUCGGUUUCUGGAAAAUCCGUGAGCAGAAGCCCUCGGAGCAGGAGCUUAUCCCGCUCUGCAUCUCCUGUGAGGUCGGAUUGA